AGCCCAACAGCUAGCCCACCCACCAAUUUAACAACCAAUUAUAACAUAACCCAAAAUACCCUAAACCAAAAACAAACAAACCAUUUUUCCGUCCUAGUAUGUGCGACAGAAAAG
rnacentral:rRNA from 1 species